rnacentral:lncRNA from 1 species
UUAGAUUCAAGAGUUUGCUCAUAGAAGGUAUAAACCCUAAUCGAAAUUCUGAUCUUGAUUGUUAUGAUAAAAGUUGUGUUGAAGUGUUAAAACAUGUUGAAUAUAGGGUUAUUAAGUGAUCUGGGUUGAUAGAUGUUAUAUCCAUAACAUCUAUAGGCUCAGAUCUAGUGUGUUUUCAAAAUCUGGAAAAAGUUUAAACUGUG